AGCGAACGCUGGCGGCAGGCUUAACACAUGCAAGUCGAACGCCCCGCAAGGGGAGUGGCAGACGGGUGAGUAACACGUGGGAACGUACCCUUUGGUUCGGAAUAACUUGGGGAAACUCAAGCUAAUACCGGAUAAGCCCUUAUGGGGAAAGGUUUACUGCCGAAGGAUCGGCCCGCGUCUGAUUAGCUAGUUGGUGAGGUAAUGGCUCACCAAGGCGACGAUCAGUAGCUGGACUGAGAGGAUGAUCAGCCACACUGGGACUGAGACACGGCCCAGACUCCUACGGGAGGCAGCAGUGGGGAAUAUUGGACAAUGGGGGCAACCCUGAUCCAGCCAUGCCGCGUGAGUGAUGAAGGCCUUAGGGUUGUAAAGCUCUUUUACCCGGGACGAUAAUGACUGUACCGGGAGAAUAGGCCCCGGCUAACUUCGUGCCAGCCGCCGCGGUAA
rnacentral:rRNA from 1 species